CACUUAUCAAACAGCCAUCAGUUGCGUAACUCCUAUGCUCUAGGCUCUGGAUAAAGCAGUGGGCAAAAUAAAAUUGUUUCAAUAUGGCAGAAUUCCAGGACUGGAAUUAGAGUCAGAGAGUAUGUAGCAGAAGCUGUUGGACCUUUGGGAUCCCUUUUACAGUCAGGGGUGUCCUUCCUCCAGCUGCUGCAGGCGCUGCUGAUGACUCACACCUCAGACAACUGGAGCCACCUCCCUGCAUGCCUGGGAACCACACCCCUCCACAGCCUACAGCCAGUGACUGGCUGAGUACAGCUCCCAACUUCCUGGACAUAAGAAGCAUUUCUUUCUUUGCCUGAUUUGCUCCUCUGUUGCUUCCAAGAUGGCAGGCCUCUCCACACCAAUGGGAAGAUGGCAAGAUGUGUGAACCUACUGCUGGGAACAAAAGCACUGAGCUCACGUAAUCCCCUGGGCAUGUAAGAAGUUAGUGGGGGUAUCUCUGGCCACUGUGAAUGUUGAGCACAUUGUUUUAUAACCCGGCCCCACUGGCUCCCCCUUUCUCCCCCACCUCCAGAUCUAACUAAUCUGGGAUG